rnacentral:rRNA from 1 species
CAGCCGCCGCGGUAAUCCGUAGGGUGCAAGCGUUAAUCGGAAUUACUGGGCGUAAAGCGUGCGCAGGCGGUUAUAUAAGACAGAUGUGAAAUCCCCGGGCUCAACCUGGGAACUGCAUUUGUGACUGUAUAGCUAGAGUACGGCAGAGGGGGAUGGAAUUCCGCGUGUAGCAGUGAAAUGCGUAGAUAUGCGGAGGAACACCGUUGGCGAAGGCAAUCCCCUGGGCCUGUACUGACGCUCAUGCACGAAAGCGUGGGGAGCAAACAGGAUUAGAUACCCCUGUAGUCCCUGUCUCUUAUAC